AGUAGUAGUGGUAGUAGUAGUAGUAGUAUUAAUAUUUACAAUCUAAGCAUUUUUUUGUUUGAGUGCAGCUGUUGAAACAUUUUUAUUUGAUAGGGCCUACGGUUAAAAUCUGAUGUUAGCCUAAAUCUGGACAAGUGGGGGAGUACAGGGAGGUGGAGUGUACAGUCGGUAAAUAUGGCUCUCCCUUGCCCUGCCUCCAACAUGCCUCCAUCUAAAUAGGAUAGAUUAUCUAGAGUUAUCUCUGUAGUUAUGCUGCUAUAGGCUUAGACUGCUGGAGGGCACACUGACCAUUUUCCACACUCGACUACUUUCUUCUACAAUCUGCUCUUUAACUGUAUUAUUUUCUGCUAUUUCAGCUGCUAACUUUAUUUUCUCUCUAAGUGUUUUUCUCCCCAGAAGAAGCUACAACGAUGUUCUGCUGAGCUGUGGUGGCCUCAUGGAGGGGGCCAUCGUCUAGCACACUGCUGCUAACCACUUAAACAUUCUCCCUCUCCUGAUAAUAACUUUUUACUUCCUUUGACGUUGGAUGUGCUACUACUAGUUUAUCCGUUUAAUUAUAGAUUCACUAGGAUAAAUACAAUAAAUGGGGCAGGUGUAGCUCAACAGGCUUGCAGUAAUUUUUCCUCUUAUUGAUCUCAUUAAUCACAUUAAAAUCAACAUUAAAAAUGUGAACAACAAUUUAUUUUGAGCUGAUGGAAAAUAGUCCAGCGAUCUGUUCUGUGUCUGAUGUAGAGAUAAUAAUCAUGGUCAUUUACUCAUCUGGAGGUUUUCUUCUCAUUAUUUUAGACAAACUGAGAUCAAAGGUGAAUAAAGAUCUUUGUGAUUCUGUCAACAAAACUUUAGAAAAUAAACAAACAAAAAUCUAAUGAUGGAUUUUUAGUUUGUUAGCAUAGCAUAGCAUAGUUUAUUUAUAUAACACAUUUAAAUGCAGCAUGGGAGCUGCCCAAAGUGCUGCACAGGCUAAAACAAAACACAACCAUUUGAAAGAACUAAAACAGAGGAUAAAAAUCCCAAUCAAAAGCAGAUAAAACAUGAUGAAUACUAAGAACACAUUAAAACAAUGAUACAAUAAAACACUAAAACGAGUCACUGUCUAAAAGCCAAAGUGUAAAAGUGGUUCUUUAAACGAGAUUUAAAAACCGCCAGAUAUGGAGCCUGCCGAACUCCAAUGGGCAAUGAGUUCCAUAGCUUUGGGGCAGCAUGCACAAAUGCUCUUUCACCCUGCAAUUUGAAUCGCAUCCGCGGCGUGCACAGCAGCAAAAGGUCAGCCGACCUCAACGUGCGCGUGGGUACAUAUGGAGUGAGAAGGUCAGAGAGAUAGGGAGGUGCCAGGUCAUUGAGAGCUUUAAAUACAAAGGUCAAUAACUUAAACUGCACUCUGAAAAUGACAGGGAGCCAGUGAAGAAGUUCCAGGACAGGAGUAUGUGUUACAGAAGAACUUACUGAUUUUUUAUUAGAUAUUUUAAAUGUUUGUGUAGUUUAGGGAUUAAUAUAUAAUAAUUAACUGUUUAACAUUGAUUAGGUGUUUUAUUAUUUCAGUCAUUUAAACAUUUUGUUACUUAUUAUAUGAAGUAGUUAAAUUUUACUAGAGUGUAAUUUUAAGGGAAAACCUUAAAUUACUAAACAAGUUUCAGUUAAGAAGAAAGUGAUUUAAAAGCUUUUCAUUUUAAUUUAAGGGUGUUGAGGGUCUGCCCUCAUGAGAAAUUGCUACUCAGUAUUUUCUCCAAAAGACUGUGUCAUUUGCUCUGAAAAGCUGGAAUAUAUUCCAGCGCCAGCAUGCCCUCAUGAGGAAAUACUAUGCAGUAAUUUCUCCAAAAGACUGUUAUCUGCACUCUGAAGAGCAUAAUAAAACAUCAGCACCAGCUACUACUUCAUUUCCCAUGAUUCCUUGAGCCAGAAGCAAUGUGAUGACGUCACCGCCGAAUACCGGAAACACGUUCUGCGUAUGCGCCGAACCACACGGAGACAGCUGGAAGCUAUAAAUUCUAGCAAAACGAAACCUAACUCUGUUCUUUUGUCCAGUUUAACUGGUGGUGAAGGACACGCUGGUUGCUACGGCUCCGGACAACGUGAGCACGUGGGAGGCCUGGCUGCUGAAGUGGAUCGAACACAGAACCGCUGAAAAGCAGUGGAAACCCAUCAGAUCUGCUCUCCUGGUGCUGAUGUGUGGGAAAUCGCUCGCUGCUACGACUCCGGACGUGUGAGGAAACAGAACUGCUGGAAAGCAACGGAACCACCAUCUAAUCAGCGCAAAGAACAAAGGGACGCCUUGGUUCGCUAACGCAAGAGUUUGAUUUUUAUUUUAUUUUUCUCUCUCUCUUCUUCUCUUUCAUCUCUUCUAGACCAAAGUAAGUGAUCAAACCACAGAUCGUUUUAAAGUAGAACCGGUUUUCUCUUCUCCGUACCAAAAAACGCCAUCGGAUCCUUUUAAGAGUAAGCCGUUUUGUUGUUUGUCAUUGUUUAAUAUCUUAAAUAGUUUUUAUGCUGUGGCCAGGCUGACAAACUAUCAGAUAUUCAUUUAUGAUUGAUCUUUUGUGUUGUUUCUUGAUCGUUUUGAAGUGUUUUGAGUGAAUUAAGUUUAAGUUACUGUGAUUGAAAGUGCUUCGGAAGUUUAAAGUGCAAGUUGCCCACACACACACACACACACACACACACACACACACACACACACACACACACACACACACACACACACACACACACACACACACACACACACACACACACAUUCUGGUUUUCCCUGUUUAGGGGGACACACACACAUACUUGUUUUUAGUGUUUGGGGGACUCAAGCUAAAACACACACUUACUGGGUCAGAUUGUUUUACAUUAUUAUUUCAUUGUUUAAUUACUUGUUAUUCAUUUGAUAAAAUCAGUUGGUUGAUAUUGAUUGAUUAAAGCUUCAGAAGGAGCUGAAGUGAUGAUAUUAGAAUGAUGAUAUGGAAUGGAAAUAUUAGUUAAUAAAUGUAUAGCCAAUUAAAGGAGACAUAACAUGAAAACCCCACUUUUUUAUCCAUUAACACAGUGUGUUUCACAUUUUAAGUGUCUAAAUGAGCAAAAAAGGCUUAUAUUAUUCACUGGAGUUGCUAUUUAGAUAUUUAAUAAUUAAGUUUUGGGCAUAUUUGUCCACCCGUUCAGUUUUUCAAAUUAUCUAUUACAUCAGUAAUUUAUUUCGUCAGGAUAACUACCAAAUAUGGUAAUAGCCCUCGGCUAAACACAGAGCCAAUCUGCCAUUUUUUCUUCUCGCUAAGAUUUUUUGUAGUCCUAUUGGAAAAAUGCAGAAUGUCUGGUUAUUUUAGCCACACACAGCUCAAAACUGUUCCUCGUUUUAAGGAAGGGUGGUGUGGCAGUAUUUAAACCCAGGAGCUGAUGACACUACUGCUAAAAAAACACAGAAGUUGUGUGUGUGUGUGUGUGUGUGUGUGUGCGCGCGCGGUUCGUUCGUUCGUGUCUCCAGGCUAGUGGCUAAGUACUGAGGGCUUCAUCUAUCUAAAAGGAGUUAUUUCCAUCUGAAUGUGGCAGCGACGGGACACAGCAGCAGAGCGAGUCCACAUCCAGAAGGCUGGAGCCGUGUUUCACUGACAGGCUGUCAGACUAACGCCCUGAUGAGCUCAGCUGGGACAAACUGGUUUGAUGUUUAGGAACACAGAACGUUCAGAUGUUGGAGCUUCACGUCACCUACUGAAGAAGGAGACCCACCAGUAAAGAGACGGUCUGGACCAGACCAAAGUGAGUGAUGACACACCUCAGCCAUCCUCAUCAUUAAGAACACCUCACCCCCUGAAUCACUCUGUCUGAUGACAGCAGAGUGAUUUAUUUGAUGUUUUACUUGUUUAGUCUGUUUAGAAAUUAUUGAAUUACAUUACUUUCUGUAAACAACCAUCUGAUCUGGACAUGUACAGAAUAACUUUCCCCAAAUUCAGCAGCAGCUGGCCUACAAAAACAGCUGCAGCAUGUAGUAAGUCUGUCUGCACUGCUCUCUAAUGGGCUCGACACACGGGAGGCAACAUCGCCUCUCCUCCAUUCAUUUUCAAUGAGACAUGCACGACAAAGCGAUAAUUGCGGGUCUCUCCCUACCAAGCGAAACGCGAAAAACGUGCGUGUGAAAGUUUGCACUCGUGCACGUGUCGUGCACGUACGACCCAGUGACGCAAUCCCAGAAAGUUGAAACAUUUUCAACUUUUCAUCGCUGUCGCUCGGACGAGGACCAAUCAAUGGAGGUUUCAUUCACUGACCAAUGAGCGGACAGGAUGCUCCGCACAUCUCCGAGCA